rnacentral:rRNA from 1 species
GACGAACGCUGGCGGCGUGCUUAACACAUGCAAGUCGAACGGAAAGGCCCUGCUUUUGUGGGGUGCUCGAGUGGCGAACGGGUGAGUAACACGUGAGUAACCUGCCCUUGACUUUGGGAUAACUUCAGGAAACUGUGGCUAAUACCGGAUAGGAGCUCCUGCUGCAUGGUGGGGGUUGGAAAGUUUCGGCGGUUUGGGAUCGACUCGCGGCUUAUCCGCUUGUUGGUGGGGUAGUGGCUUACAAAGGCUUUGACGGGUAGCCGGCCUGAGAGGGUGACGGGCCACAUUGGGACUGAGAUACGGCCCAGACUCCUACGGGAGGCAGCAGUGGGGAAUAUUGCAAAAUGGGCGGAAGCAUGAUGCAGCAACGCCGCGUGCGGGAUGACGGCUUUCGGGUUGUAAACCGCGUUAGCCUGUGACGAAGCGUGAGUGACGGUAAUGGGUCAAGAAGCAACGGCUAACUACGUG